CGGCGGACGGGUGAGUAACGCGUGGGUAACCUGCCUCGUACAGGGGGAUAACAGUUGGAAACGGCUGCUAAUACCGCAUAAGCGCACAGUACCGCAUGGUACGGUGUGAAAAACUCCGGUGGUAUGAGAUGGACCCGCGUCUGAUUAGGUAGUUGGUGGGGUAACGGCCUACCAAGCCGACGAUCAGUAGCCGACCUGAGAGGGUGACCGGCCACAUUGGGACUGAGACACGGCCCAG
rnacentral:rRNA from 1 species